GUGCAGCAGUCGAGAAUAGUCUACAAUGGACGAAAGUCUGAUAGUGCGACGCCGUGUGUGCGAUUAAUUCCUCCGGGAUGUAAAGCACUUUUCUAUGAGAUAAAAGCUCUUUAGGUUAAUAGCUUAUUGAGACGGAUAUUAUUAUAGGAAUAAGCUCCGGCUAACUCCGUGCCAGCAGCCGCGGUAAUACGGAAGGAGCGAGCGUUGUCCGGAUUUACUAGGCGUAAAGGGCUAGUAGGCGACUAAUUAAGUUACAUGUUAAAUCCCACGGCUCAACUGUGGUCCUGCAUGUAAUACUGGUUAGAUAGAGUACUGUAGAGGAAGGCAGAAUUCCUGGAGUAGCGGUGGAAUGCGCAGAUAUCAGGAAGAAUACCAAAAGCGAAGGCAGCCUUCUGGGCAGUUACUGACGCUGAAUAGCGAAGGUGUGGGUAGCGAACAGGAUUAGAUACCCCUGUAGU
rnacentral:rRNA from 1 species